rnacentral:rRNA from 1 species
CAGUCGCCACGGUAAUACGUAGGUGGCAAGCGUUGUCCGGAAUUAUUGGGCGUAAAGGGCUCUCAGGCGGUUUCUUAAGUCUGAUGUGAAAGCCCCCGGCUCAACCGGGGAGGGUCAUUGGAAACUGGGAAACUUGAGUGCAGAAGAGGAGAGUGGAAUUCCACGUGUAGCGGUGAAAUGCGUAGAGAUGUGGAGGAACACCAGUGGCGAAGGCGACUCUCUGGUCUGUAACUGACGCUGAGGAGCGAAAGCGUGGGGAGCGAACGGGAUUAGAUACCCCUGUAGUCCCUGUCUCUUAUAC